UCACUGCAGUCUCCACCCUCGCUGCUUGGCUGCCGUGGCACAACGAAGCCCCAUCUUGCCAGCUUCUUUAAGACCCGGCUUCGUCCCUCCUCAACUUCGUCCCUCUGCAAAACAGAAAUCCAGUGGCUCUGCAUGCCCCAAACUGCAGAAACAGGAGCUGUUUUCAGGGUUAUUGCGAGAAUAUGAUAGAAAGGAGGGCAACCAUGCAAGAUGACUUUGGUUCCUCCAAGAAGAAGAAAGCUGUAACACAGAGGAAGAGGAGGAGAACAACAACCACCACACAGGAAAGAGCAGGCCAAACAAUGGCUAAGUUCAUGGAACUUCACAAUCCGUAUGUACGUAAGAUUGAGCAUGGAUUGAGUGUGAGUUGUUGAACCAAGGACUGUUGUGUUGUGCAACCCAAGAAGUGAAGCAAGCCAUGGUUUUUUAACCAUGUACAACCAAAUGAACCAUGGGCUGUCUUCAUAGCUUGUUAGGAUGGCUGUGAUUACACAAUGUAGCAACCCAGAGUCAACAACAACCUAUGUUGUUGAGUAUGGGUUGCCAAGUUGUAUGAAUCAGCCUAUUUGUCUAUUCAGACCAGUGUAUGUUUAAUCAGACCAAGAGUAUCAAUCCAUGGCAUUGACUAGGUUGUCUUCUCUCACCUCCUACCUGAUCUUUUUUUAAAGGUGGAAGUCCUCAAGAUUAAACCUGGGACUUUCCCACUACAUAAAAUUGGUGCUCUCCCAGUAAGCCACAGUUCCUCCCUUCUUAGGUUAAGGUUAUUUCUGAGGCUGAAGGUAGCUAGCCAAGAAGAACAGCUGGAGGUUUCUUGGCUGGAGGGCAGUGGAAAGACUGGGUGAAGAAGUGCAGCGUUAUGCUUUACACUAAUUCUUGUUAACUACAAUGAAAAGGCACUACAAACAUUCAGAAUCAAUUUGCACUAUUGCACACACACUGGAUGGCACUUGCAGGCUCAUUUUUAUGUAACAUUAUUUUUGGGCUGCCUUUGAGGCUAAAGCCUGCUCAGGUUUAAUAAUACUCCCCAGGUUGCAGAAUUCAGUGCUCUCCCAAAGUUCCACAUUCUGGCAGUUAAGGGCUAAACCUUCCUCAGACCUGCUCCUGCUGAAUCAGACCAAGGGUUCGUCUAGUCCAGCAUUCCAACGCCAUGGAUCCAUUUGGAUGUCAUGCUGACCACCAAUGACCAUUUGCAACCCGUAGUGCAAACAACACAUGGUGCACCUGAAAGAUGCCAGGACUCACUGUGGGUUGUUCGUUUCCUCCCUUGGGUAUCCCAGGAGACACUACAGGGGGGACAAGUUUUCUUCCCCAUCCCUGAGACAACUGCAAGCCAUUUCAGGCUUACCGUGGUAUUUUUCACAGUUUAAACUUUUUUUCCUGGAGAUCACAAAAACUGGCCAUUCAGCAAUCCCCAUCAUUGUGGACAUCUUCGAGAGCUGCCACACUUGCCACAUAGGGUUGGUUAUGGUUUUAAUUCUCCCUGCCCCCAAAUUUACAUUUGCAAAAAUUAUUCCUUUUUUUAAUCCACUGUCAAAAUGCAAGCUGUCAAAUGUCAAAAUGGUGUGUGAUUUUAGCUUGCAAAAGUGUGGUGGCAACUUGUUUACUCCCCUUCGCAGCAAGAUACUCCUGGGGGGUGUUUUGGACCCAGGCAUCCUAAGUGUGUCCAGAUGUUUUGGACUCUCCAUAUCUGUAGACUAUCUUUCCAAAAACAUCAGAACACCCUUAGGACACACAAGUCCAAAUAACUCCAGGAGCACAAAGAUCUAAUCAUGAAGGUGGUGAACCUUUUCUUGCAAGCCAAGAUCAUGAAUGCCUCUGAUUAAAUUUGACAGCUGUCAGAGGGAACCAAAGGGUUAACCAAAUUUAGCUGCACCCUUUAUGGGGCAAUGUUCAGAAUGGACACAUGCUGGACUUCACCAGCAAGCAUGCCCCUACACAUUGCCCACGUAAAGCUCCCCAUUACCACAACUGAGAACUUCAACAGUUGCCUUAAGUACAAGUGAAAAUAUAACAAUAUGUACCAUCUUAUGGAUAUGUGUGAAAAUUGGGGGGAAUUUGAAAAGACUGACAACCACUGGCAGCCUGUCCAAGAUGCCCUGGGGCACUCUGCAGAUAUUACUUGAUGCUUUACAAAUAAGGGUUGUAAAUGCUGACUUAACCGUUGAUUUAUUUCAUAAUUGCCAGGGAAAAACUGAAAAAAGCCAUGCUGAGCCCAAAAGAGUUUACAGGCACAAUGCCAACAGCAGAAGCUUUUGCCACCUGCCCUCAAGUGCCUCUUGGGCACUUCUAGGAAGGCUGGCACUGGCAGCUACCAGGACACACUUGGCCAGGAGUUUCUGCUGCUCUUGCCACUCAUGUUGGUAACCAAUACCUUGGUCUCAUGAUAGGUUGUGUUACCCAGGUUCAAACUACAACUACCCCAAAAUAAGCCAUGAGUUGUUGCCCUCAGUGAGUCACCCUGUGGGAAUCAGUCACACAAAACAUCCGAUCGCCAUGGUUUCAGAACCAUAAUGGGUUGCUUUGUCAUGCAACACUUGUCACUGUCUCUGGCAAGCUCACAAAACACAACACAAAAGCAUCAGCCUUCUCUAGUUGCCACUAUGGCAACUCUAUGAACUAUUAUUUUGGAAGGGAAGUCUACCAAACAGCACUGGUGUGCUGGAGGUCAUCAAAAUACAUGUAACUUGGAAAAAGAUGGCUUUUACCCUUUAUAAAUUCCAGUACUCCAAGAAAACUACCAAGUACUCAUUGUAAAUUGUAGAGACAAGACCUUUUAGAUCAGCCUUCCCCAACCUGGCAAACUCUAGAUAUUUUGGGCUAUUGUGCUUACUGUGCUUGCUGAAGCUGGUGGGAGUUGCUGCCCACCAGAAGGUUUGGGCUACAAGUUGAGAAAGGUUGGUUUAUAUAACCCCUGUUUACUCUAUAAUUUAGGUCCUCAAACUUUUUCACUAGGGGGCCAGCAGAAAGGUGCUGGUGCUGGGCGCGGGCCGGAAAGACGGUGUCAGUGGGGCACAUGGGCCAGCACACACUGAGGCGGGGCCGGGGUGCGCAGUGAGGCGAGGUGAGGCACAGGCAGGCGAGGUGGGGGUGGGCAUGCGCCGUGAUGCAGCAGCGGGCGCACGAGGCGGAGGCCUGCUCCCUUGGAGUUCAUUUUCUCUGAGCACGUCCAAAAUGAUCUCCUCACGAGCAAGUCACCGCCUCCCCACACGCAGGGCAAGGCGCUGGUGGGCAUGCAUGGGGUGAGGCGGGUGACGGCGGGCACAUGUGCAGCAAGUCCAAAACCUCAGGCAGGCCAGAUAAAUGGGCAUGGAGGGCCAGAUGCAUCCCGUGGGCCAUAGUUUGAGGACCCAUGCGCUAUAACUUGCACUCUUUUUGUGCCAUGAACAUCAACAAAAACUCCACAAAUGUGCUCAUGAAACAGUCAGUUUCUUUGUUAUUGAAUCAUUAAUGGACUGUUGAUUAAUUCUUGCAUUUUAAAAAAAUAAAAUUUAACAAAUUAAAAAAAUAUGGAGCUUUCAUUUAGCAAUCAUAGCUAAUAGCUACCAGAAGACAGGUCCUCUAUAAAUUUGUUCAAGCCUUUUUUGAUGUCACUGAAACAUACACUCAGAAUGGACCUCAAAUGUUAUGCUGCUGAUGCAGGAAUUCUGCUGUUAAAUAUCCUUGAUAGGCGGCCCUCCAGCCUCUGCUUAACAGCCUCUAAAGGAGGAAAGUCCAGCACUUCCAAGACAGUCUGUUCCAUUGUUCGACAUCCAGUAUUAGAAGUUCUCUCUAACAUUUAGUUGAAAUCUCCUUUCUUUUAGAUGUACCUGUUGGUUCGGGCCCUACCUUCUGUAGCAAUGGAAAAUUAAUUGUCUUCAUCCUUUGUGACAGUCCCUCAAAUAUUUGAAGAUGGCAAUCUUGUCUCUUCUGCAGGUUAAACAUACUGACUCCCUUCAAUCUUUCUUCGUAGGACAUGGUUUCCCCUCAUUAUCUCUGCCACCUGCAUCUGGGCAUAGCAUUUUGUAAAUGGAAAUUGCUGCACAGAAGAGAUCAACUGCAAUUGUCAUAACAAAAUUUGAGAUACUGUCAAAAGGUAACUGAGAUGCACUAUUUAGUCAAACAUUUCAAAACUAAACAGGCUUAAAUUCCAGGGCAGAAGCUUGUUACAGCACUACUUCCCAUACAGACUUGCACAGAAGUCCAAACAGAGCUGCAUACCAACAUCUUGGGGUAAGACGCUGCAUACAGGGCUCUCUUCUCUCCCCCUUAAGCACAGUGACUGAAGUAAAAGAGAAAUCAGUAGCUAAAAACCCAGUAACGGCUUAAACGUUUCAGCUUCCUUUGGAGAACUUGAGCUUCCUCUGCUUCAACAGAGAGAAAAUCUCUUAGAAUAAUUCACCUAUAACUGUGAAAACAAGCAAAUGCAGAGCCAGGAAGAUGCUGAUAAGGGGCUAGGAUUGGCCUGAAUGAUAUUUCAGGGAUCCUUAAUUGCAAAGGUUCAGGAUUCCUUCCAGUUUUUCUGUAAAUAAGCCAUCAGCAUGCAAGCGCCUUAUUUCUUAAGGCAAAAUGCAGCUGGUGGCAGGUAAAGUGUGGGCCUUGUUCCUUCCCCAUAGAAAGCAUCAGGGACAGAUGUCUUGUAGGCCACCCUGCGAGGACAAGAGCAGGGGACUACCCCAUCUGCCAUUCUUCCACUUUGCAGGAACAGGGUCUGAAAAGGAGACAGAGAGCUGACUUGGUUCUCUGUAUGCACUACAGACACCCUGAGAAAUCUGAUGAGCAACAGGAAAGUGCUGGCUGUUGAUGUGAACCCUCCUCUUAUAUUUACACAUGUGUAAUAAAUCUUGCAUCAGAAAUGUCAUAAUUCUCAAGCAACCACCUUAAGAAAAACAGAUCCUGGGUCCCUUGAAUCUUCUCAGUGCUUGGAAGAGGGGUACAGAACAUUGUUAGUAUAAAGACCAUGGAGUUCCAAAUGAGCACUUUUAUGUGAUGGAAUAUAUGUAGGAACACAUGCUUCACUAAUUUCCACCCAUUUUCACAUGCCCAUUAUAACCAAACUCGUGUUCCAGUUGAUUCUUUCAUUGAAUAGCCCCAUUAAUUAACAGGCUGAACAAAAGACUGAGGGCAGUGUCUGCAUCUAGAACUUUGGACAGUUGCAUCCCAGCUAAUAUAUCUCAUCUCAAGGUUAUGAAUAGAUAAACAGACUAGAGAUUCCACAUCAAAAAGAGAACUUUGCCUGUGAAAGAGCCCUAACUUUACAUGCAGAAGAUCCCAAACUUAGUAUUUGGCAACUGCAAAUGAAAUCAGUCAAGCAGCAAGGGAAGGGAAAGGCCUCUGACAAGAUAAAUUACCAAUCAGAGUAAGAAACACUGAGCUAGAAGGACCAAUGAUCUCAUGAAGCAUAUUUUAAUAUUGCAUUUAUAAGCUGUCUUUUAUCCUCUUGCAAGCAAUCCAAGAUGGCUUAGACAGUUCUCCACUCUGCUUUUAUCCUCACAACGACAGUGCUGUGAGCUAGUUUGAGUGAAAAGUAAGUAACAUGCCCAAAGCUACCCAGUGAACUUAAUGGCAGACUGGGAACUAGAACCCGGAUCUCCCAGGUGCCCAGGCCAAAACUCUAAGCACCACACCAGUUUUCCACAUAAGGCAAAUUCUUGUUUGGUUAUGCAGUACAGUGCAGUAUUGUGCCAAUUCCCCACACGCCCUGCAGAUUUGCUCUACAGAUGUCCAAUUAACCUCUCUUUCAGGUAAAUAAACAGAAUAAGCAACCUUUUUGGUCCUGUGGAAUACUUGAACAAAAAAAAAGGGGGGGGAAUGAUUGCAUAUACCUUUCUAAAUUCUCACUAUCCUUAACCCAAACUUUCUGGAUUCCUUUUUUCCUUCUCCUCUCCAGCUGUUUUUGUAUGGAAUUUUUGUCCCCAAAGCUACUCUAUGGAGAAAUCUUCCUCCAUUGACUUUGACAGAUUUCGGGGGAAAGGGUCCUUGCUGAAAAGCAGGUGAAGGGAGGAAGGGAAGCCUAUACCCCACCAAGGACGACCCUGUUUCCCAAAGGAUCCAUGGUAAGGGUUGCCCCAUCUACCUAUCUUAACGAAGUCCUGUUCCACAAGCAGUAUUCCUUAUACUGGUGGAACAAUGUUUCUGGAUCCAACUGAGUGAUUAGAGGCAACUAUAAUUAGUGAGAGCAAGUUUUAAAGGGUGCAAGUCAAAGACACUGUUUUUUCACUGUUUGGAUCUGAAGUUUUAUUGUUACAUGGGAUGGAAAAGAAAAUUUUGACCUUUGCUUCUCGAAGCUAGUGAUGUUUUCAUCUACUGAAUUGUUACACCUGAUCCCUUAAGUGUUUCAGAAAGGCAUCUAUGCUGAGAUUUAGUCAACAGGCAAACAUAGUUAAAUACAGACAAUCAACCAACAAGCUAAAAGCCAAAUGAUUAGUCAACUAUACAUAAUUAUCUGUUGGCAGUCAUAAUUAAAACACAGGUUGGCUCUUGGAAAGGUAGGGAGGAGAACCUGAGGCCCUAUGCUAGUUGGCCAUCUCAUCCUUGGAGCGCUGGAAUUAAAGAGAGAGCAUGCAGGCCUGGACUGUCUUGUUUUUUCAUCUGUAACACUAAGAAUGUAACAUCCAUGCAUGUUUAGCCAGAAAAAGUCCUACUAAGCUCCAGCAUGCUGGCUGGGGGAAUUGUACUUUUACUAGCUAAACACAUACAGGAUUGCACCCUUUGUAAAUUUAUGGGUGGGACCCAAUGCCACACAAGCAAAUUUACACUCAUGCAAGGAAGCCACCCCUUCCCCUGCUGCCCCGUGGGCUCCUCCCCCCAAAUCUGCUGCAGAGGGUCCACCCAGAGAGUUGUUCAUUUUUCGUUCUGCUUAUGGAAGCUUUAUGUUGGUGGGCGACACCAACUGGAUUUUACUCAAGGUGUCCUCUAUAAAAUGAUAGAGAUGAGGACGAUAGACCAACAUCAUAAUAAAUGAAUUAGCAUUUUCUAUUUCCUGCCAAGGUAAAGACAGGCAAUUAACUGGAGGAUAUCCAAGCCAGAUCAUCACUCCAAUAAAUGGGUAUGUUGUUAAUUCUCAGCCUCCUAAAACAACAGCACUGUGCUAGGUUGCAAUCGUGUGUGGACCAAAAUUUUCUAGCUGCUGUAGUAUUUGUAUUUGUUCCUCCCUUCUCUCAGGAAGCAGCUGAAUGAAGGGCAUGAAGCAGGCAAACUUCAGGAAGAGCCUCUCCUGUGUAAGCUAAAAUUGAAAUGAAAAACUUUAUGCGAAGGCACCGCCAAUCCCUAGUAAAACUUUGAUUCAGUGGCACUUCCAUAAUUCCCAGUGAACUGUGUCUAAACAAUUAACACAAGGCUUUCGCAGGGAUGUAAAUAAUAGAGGUAAUUAUUUAGCUUAAGUGAUUUAGCUUAAAUCACUAUAUGGAUUUAUACUGGUUUCAUUGUAAAUAUUCCUCUUCUGUUUUUGAAACCAUGUUUUACUUUAAUCAAAGAAAAUAUUCAUCCCUGAAAAAGAUAAUAUCUAUUUUCUUUCUUCAUAAAGCUUGCUGCCCGUGUCCACCAAGAAUUAAAUCCCAUUUGCCCAUCCAGGGAAGGAUGUAUGACUGUCACCAAGCAGCUGGGUACAAAUUACAUAUUACAAAAAAAUGCCAUUCACAGAUGCUGCUUACAGGAACGGAAAGUAAGAGUACAUACAGCUUCUUUUCUGAUGCACCCAGAUACGACCCAUAAACCUCACCAAAACACAAAUACCUAUUAAACUGGGGUGGGGAGCCCAAGGCUUUCCAGACAUUGACUGACUUCAACUCUUACCUUCUCUUAUCUACUGGACAUGGUAACUAGGGCUGAUAAGUGACCAAGUCAGCCAAUAUCUGCCAGUUCAGACUCCACACCUGAAUUAGAUAUAUUGCAACUUAUAUCUAAUAAGUGAGAUUUUAAUGACCAAAAAUUGUAUCUAGUUAUUAAUUUAACAUGUCCCAUCCAUUCCAAAGUAUUUACUCUAAGAAGGACAAACAGUUUUUAGAUGUAACCUUUUGGAGUGUUUCAUUUUGACUGAACUUUUUCUCUUCAAUGAGAUGUUUGUCACAAUCCCACAAUCCACUCCAAGAAAUGAGGAUUCCAUGACAUCUAGGAGUUCAAAGUGAUCCUGGUCUGUAGAGUUCACGGAUAGGAGCCUAUUCAGCAAGAGACACUAAACCCGGUUUGGUCAUCAUACCCACCCACAGUUUAAAUUGUAGGUUGUUGUGAACAAAUAUGAGCCCCCAGCCACUCAUGCUAAAUAAUCCAGCAAUGCAUCACCCCCAAGAUGUUUUCUCUUACACAUGAACCUAGAAUUGUGGGUUGCUGGUGAACACCCCAAACUUUAACAUCCAUUAUUAUUUCAGGAGGUCCAGGCUUCCUGGUUUACCUCAAUUAUUUACGCCCCUGAGAAAUCCUUUCCCUAACAGCUCCCUUACCUAGCCUUAGCACAGGUGAAAUAAAGCCAGUUCAUGGGCCCAUGUACUCUUGCAGUAUAAACACUUUCUUUCACUGUUCCUCAGCAAUUGUUUUCAUGGAGUAUCAUAUACAUGUUCCCCUGGCUAUGCUCUUACCCCAGUGCCUUCCAAACUUACACUGCUGGGUUCUACAGAGCCCAGCUGAUACCUCCAUUUCCAGUCCACAUGCCUAAUACUAUUCAAGAAAGAGAACAAAGCAAUCAGCUUUGGGUUAAUCAGUUGUCUGGCCAAGUUCAUAAAUGUAAUCCACUCCCCAUUACGGUCCCAACAUUCUAACAUCACUUUCCCAGUAAUUGGGAAAGGCCUCAAAGAAGCUGUGAGACAAAACUACUCUAUCAUGUAUGUGCAAAGUGGUGCUAAUGAGCACAUCUGAAAACUUUUUUGCUAAAACCCCAGUGGUAUCUGAUAGGUAUAGCAGAGACUGCUGGUGGAUCCAUUCCUGCUGCCCUCAACAGGAGAUUUAGGAGAUAUGACAAAUCUGUAGGGGUUGAGAAGGGAAGUCCUACUGCAGAACUCUAAGCCUACUUACACCAUGCAAGAUUUAACCUAGAAUUCUAGUGUGCAGCAGGGCACAGGAAGUAUGGCACCUCAUUCUGGGCUUAAUCAGCCAAGAUAUAUUCAGCCUGUCUGCAAUUUUUGUGUUCCAGGAAGAGAGAUUUGAAGGUUGAAGUCAUCACCUGUAACCUAGAGUUGCAGCCCCUUUCCCCUAAAACUACACAGGUGGUGGUGAGUAUUGCUGCUUCUGAUUACACAGAAGUGAAGGAAAGUUACUUUGCACAUGCUCAGAAACACUUGUGAUCUGAUCUACUACUAUGUGAAGUGGGUUCCAUGUGCCAGAUUAAUCCCUGGUUUUCUGCUUGCUCCAUACAUGAAGCCAUUUGCCAGUUGCUUCCAUAUAUAUUGCAUUGCCUACCUUUCUAUCAGUAGCCCCAACACUCACUCAAUGCUCCCCACACAAGGGGGAUCACAAGUCUCAGUGGAAAACCUCGUUGUUUAAAACAGGCUCUUUUUCCUGGGAAGAGUGCUUGGGCAUGUACAGACAACACUAAAACUGCCCACCAUCACCACAACUGCUGACAACAAGCAUCAAGCCAAAUGGAACAAUAACUGCCCAGAGAACCAAAACAGCCUUGUUUCAUGUCACUUACUGUGGGACCUUUUGUCUUCAAGCCAAAGGCAAUGACAGAAGGAACAUGGGAAAUGGACUGCAAUUGACAGCUCAACACAGACCAUCAUUCAGCAGGAGGAAGUGGAGUCGGCAGAGCUUUCAGAGCAUUAGCCAAAGUCAUCAGCAAGGACUACACCACAGCCUGACCUCUCUUAGAGCUCAUACCGACCCCCUGAGUGGCGCUGCUUGCGUGCAGGCGCCCUUUACCCCCAACCACCACUGGUAAGGUCAGAGAGCAGGAAAGCAAUAGAUCUAGCUGUUAACUGGCAAAUCUCGCUGCUAAGAAACUCUCCUGCCAUUGCACAGUUUAGAUCUAAGAACAUAACAGGACCCCAGCUGGAACAAGCCAAAGACCUAGCUAGUCUGGCAGUGCAUUUCAACAGUGGCCAACCUAGUAUCUCCAGGAAGCUCAUACAAGCAGGCCACAAGGAAAACAGUCUUCCUUUAGCAUCCAGUGUUCAGAGAAGCAUACCAAAAGCAUCCAAUUUAGCUAUUUGCAUAUAGAUACCCAUAUGAAACUGCAUACAGGUAGCAAAUGAGCAGACAACCAAAGAGGGGUAGAACUCUCAGGCCAUCCCUUCUAAGCCCUCAGCUGGUUAACCGUCUUGCAGGUUACUCAUUCCUGUGAGCUUAGGUUGGCUUAUAUAUUUGCCCAACCUACCAAGUUCAACGCUAUAUUUACUCACAUUUCUCUUGACCGUUCUUCGUACUGGCUGAAAUGCAAAACCACUGGCUGGCAAAGACCAAAAGAAACUGGGCACUGAGUGAAAAAUACAGCACAAGAGAACACGGUUUUGUACUUGCACAAAAAGAACGGGGCAAACAGACUCCUCUACAACAAUGCCCACCAAGGAUAAUCACAGCUGACCGUUUACUCAGUGGUAACUUACUGUGUACACAGACUCGCUUUACCGUAAACCAAAGCAUCCAGAUCAUUUCAAGAACCUCAAGCUCUCUCUAAGGGCUUUACCAGGAUCCUGCUUCUCCUGUCUGUGAAUAAAAUGGGUCAGAGGCAAGGAGCGUGCAAGAUAGAGGAGACAAAGUCCAGAUUUCAAACCAGCAUCCUAGCUUAUGUUCCCCUCCUAUGCAGAAAUUAUGCAAAAAUAAGUUCCAGCCCCAAAAAGGGAACAAACACAUGGCAUUAAGCAAGAUGUGCUGCUGUUCAAGUUGCCAACAUUCACAAUUUUUCAGUUUAGAAGUCAAAGCAUCAGCUUGGAGCUCUAAACACCUUGAACUACAGAAAACCAACUGUUACCUGAAGAUAUUUUCUGAUCUUGUCAGCAUUAUUGUAUGGGGUCUUCAGAGUACAGGCCCGAAGAUCAUUCGUGUUCAGCUUUCAAGCUCUGUUGCAGAGUGCUCCAUGUUAGGAUUGCUCCAUAAAUUUAAUCUAGAUCAUCUCUAUGACAGCAAAAGCCACAAUAUGAGCAGGAACAAGCAAAGGGAGCCAACACAGGGACUGCCAACAGUAGAAAGAAUUACUAAUACUAAAGCUAUAUGUCUGUGAAACAAGGCGAGCUGGCUCUGAGCUGUCACUCCACAUUCUUCUCGAGGGACUACCCAGGCUACCUGGGCAUCCAUACUUCUAUGCCCAAAAUCAAUGCAUUUUGUGUUCAGUGAUUUACUUGAGCUUAUUCUGCAAUGCACAGUAUCUCCAGACCCCCUUAUAGUAUCUGGCUAAUCCGAAUUUUUAACCAAGUGGGUCCAAGUUCAUAUAUACUGUGUCAUUAAAGUGUAGAUUUAUGACAGUACCUGAGCUCACCUCUUUAAAGGAUCUGUUGUAAGCAGGUACUGGAAAGAACUCAUUUCUGUAGCAUCAAGGUGCUACUCAUCUUGCACCUACAGAAGCUCCUGAAAGCAUCCCGCUGAAGUAGGGUUCUAAAGUAGGCCCUGCAAAAGAAACCAGCAUGGUCCCAACAGCUAUGCACUACAGCCUGCCAGGGGCUUGAGAGGGCUCCUGCAUCCUCAGUUCCCAAACAUGCAGCAAUAGAAGAGGCUUAAUUGAGUCCCAGAUGGGCCCCUAUAGCUAUCACACUGUGUUUGACUCACCGGGCUGCAAGCCAUGCAGGCUAACUCUACAGAUCCAAGACAAACUGAUGCCCAGGGGCCAAUUCCUAGGGCUCUCCACAUGGCCCAAACCUAGAAGGCCUGCCCCACCUGCCGCAGGAGGCUGCAGCUGCAUGCUCUCCCAAAGCUCGCCUGCAGCUGUUCAACAGUCUCUUGCACCAUCGCCCAAGACACUGAGCAGAAUAUCCUACACAGCGCUGGACUGUAGCUUCCCACCCAAGAGCUGAUUCCUUCAUUUAUUCUUCUUAGCCAGACUGCCUAUAAGCUGCGGCAAAGAUGUAAAGUGCUCCAGUGAUACACCCAGUGGCACAACCAGAGCAAGCUGGACAGCUGAGGGGAAAACAGAGCCUUGUUCAAUUUGGUCCCAGUGACAAAACAGCUGUUGCGGACUUCAUUUCACACCACCAGCUUGGGGGAAGGCAAGACCAGCUGUUCAGUAGCUUCUCAAAUGGCGGCAGUAUAUGGAGAGGCCCAGCAUCAUACAGCAUAUUUGCCCCAAAGUAUCGCAGCCUAAAUAGCUUACUCUAUAGGGAAAAGAAGUGAAAAAGCCAGCUUUCAGAGGGUACCCAGCCCAUGCCCUUUUCACAUCACCCUCACCCAGAACAUGCUAACUGGCAGCCAUAGGAACUUGUCUGUGGGCAGGAUGUAUGCUAAAGGGCAGAAGCAAAUCUAGACCAAAUUUGGGGGGUUGGUAUGGAAUUAGCUAAUGAGGGGUACAGCCCAUGCUGCACUCACCGCUUAAAGGUCCGCAGACCUUUCUGGCAUCUGUAACGCCAAGUGCUUUCCAUCAACUCCUAUUUAUGCCACGAUGCAUCGUCUCUUAGAAAAAGAACCUCUUAGCUUGCCACACUUACUCCUACCACUGGGAACAUCCAAACUAGAAUGCUAAAACAUGCUCAAGAACUUCAGGAUAUGGAGGCCAGUCUAGGAACAGGGGAACCCCUCACUUGAUUUGGACACAGCUGCAGAAUUCGAUUUAAUAAACCAAGAUGCUUGUGCUUAACACCCUCUCUGGAUUCAGCAUUCUUCAGCUGAAGGCUUUCUGAAUUAAUGGAUCAUAUCGUUUCCCACUGACUGGGAAGUAUUACAAGGGUCAGAACUAACCAAGACCUUAAGCCACUUUAAAUCAUGGUUUAAGAGCCUGGUUUCUUCCAGGCCUUGUAAUUAAUUUACUUAAUUUAACCCAACAAGACUUCAGUCACAGGACACCAAGAAAGGAAAGGGUGGAGCGUGCACACAUGGCUGAUACAUACCUUGGCUCUCAUGUCUUAAUCAGGUCAUGGCAAUGAACUGAGAUAAUACACCAGUGUUAAUUAUCUACACUGGCUUGCUACAAUUCAAAAAGUAUCGGAACCACACCUGCUUCUGGUCAUUAGCUUGGACAUUCAGUAGAAACUCUCCUCUGGAUAAACCCAGCCCCAGAAAUGAAACAGGUAGCAACCAGGAAUAGUCUUAUCUAUGUUGGUGUCUCAUUUAUGAAACAUUCAAAAUCAUGCAACCAUUGAGCUGCAGGUUGAUCUGCAGGGCUGACCUGCCUCUAUUUAAACGCCUCCAGUGAGGAAGAGCCCAUCAUUCCUCCAGAUGAUUGGUUGCAUUGUCAAACUGUUCAAGAAGUUACUACUAGUGUUCAACUAACACUGCCCCUCCUGCAAUGUAACCUCAUUGACUAACUCCUACCCGCUAAAACAGCAGUGAACAAGUCUUGUCCAUGUGGCACCUACUUUUACCGAUUCAGGCAGCAGGUGAAGACUUAUCCUCUCACACUUCUAGUUCUUAAAAAACCACACAUACAAUUAUUCUUUAUUCCUGCUGGUUUUAUCUUAGCAGUGUUCUUCACUUGGGUGCUUUUUUUCUUUAAAAUUAAAAUGAUAUUGAGCUGGAUCUAAAAGCAUGCUUAGAACAGACUCACUAAAAUCAGGAGAGCUCUUUUCAAUGAAACACUAGCAUUAGUUGCAUUUGGGGUUAUUUUUGACCCCAAAGUGUCUCAGGCAUGAAGAAAGUUGCUUAUGAAAAGCCUUUGUUUUAGCUGAAUUUUCCUCUCGGGCGGUUUCAAUCAAAGUAAGAAUGACUUUCAGCUAUCAGCAAGUAUAUGUAAUUUCAAUGCAAAAUGAGAAAUCUGUGUAACAAUGCUUGCUCUGCACAAUAGUUUGGCCUAGUAAUUCUGUUUGCUGGAAGUUUUAGCUAAGAAUCUUAACUUUAGCAAGAGACUAUGAUGAUCUGUACUGAAUGUAUUUUGCUCCUUUGUUUGGGGUAUAAAAGUACACUCAUGCAACUAUUUCAAUUGGCUGCUUUAAAAUAAAUAAUCAAAUAAUCAA